CCCUUUGAUACUCUGGGCGGCACGCGCGCUACACUGGUUUAUAUAACGUGUAAUUUGGACGAUAGUCUGUAUAAAUCACUAAUAUAAAACCGUGAAUGGGAUAGUUUAUUGCAACUUACAAACUUUAACUAGGAAUCCCUUGUAGAAGUAGUGAAUUAUACUGCUUCGAAUACGUCCCUGCCGAUUGUACACACCGCCCGUCGUUUCUUCCGACUGGUACUCAUUGUGAAUUGAGAGGAGAUUCUGUCAAAUCGUUGUAAAUGCUGGGUAUUGGAGGAAGAAAAAGUCGUAACA
rnacentral:rRNA from 1 species